rnacentral:rRNA from 1 species
CGGGUUAACGUCCCAUAACGAGCGCCAACCCUAUCAUUAGUUGCCAUCAGGUCAAGCUGGGGACUCUAAUGAAACUGCCUACGCAAGUAGUGAGGAAGGUGGGGAUGACGUCAAAUCAGCACGGCCCUUACGUCCAGGGCUACACACGUGCUACAAUGGCCGGUACAAAGGGCAGCUACCUGGUGACAGGAUGCUAAUCUCAAAAGCCGGUCUCAGUUCGGAUCGGAGUCUGCAACCCGACUCCGUGAAGUUGGAUUCGCUAGUAAUCGCGCAUCAGCCAUGGCGCGGUGAAUACGUUCCCGGCCUU